GCAUAGAAAGUCCCUGCUCUGGUUUCGCUGCAAGCUAGUAUUGGCAUGGUACAUAAAUAGUAUUUUCCUCCAUUUAGCUGAAUCACUUGUUCUAGACCAUUACAGAAGGCAAAAAUACUGUCCUUGAUAAGUCACUGGACUGAUGCAUUUUAGAAACUGAAUGAUUUCAAAAAGCCUACUAAUUUGUUUAUGUUUAAAAAUAAAAUGGGAAAUUACAUCUACAUCCUACAUCUAGGAUCCUAAUCAGGGGAAAAGGGAGACAAGUAAAGAGAGAAUGAGCUCUCUGCUUUAGCAGCAAACAAAACAAUUGCCUUUCUGAAUAAACUGAGAAAAUGAAAUGGAAAGAAAAAGUCCGCACCAUUUAGCCACUAUUCCCUCUGAACAAGAAGGUGCUGUGUUUCAUGUCUCAAUUAUGCCAGCCCUUUUCUCUGACACUCUCUGACACGAAGGUGCGUUCUGUGAUGAUCUAUGUCUUCAAAAUGUUUACAGCUAUGUUAGAAAUGUUUUGAUCUCACUUGAGGUGGUGUGGCUGCAUUUGCCCUUCACUCUCAGGUUUUCAGAGCAGCAGGAUGCUUUGAAGAGGACGUGAUUCUUCACAGGCAGAAGGAAGGUGUUCUGUUGUGUGCACAGGAAAGAAAAGAAAUCUUAAGAGCAAACGGCCGUGCAAUCAAACCUUGAAACAAAGGGGAAAGAAUGGUGAAAACAAUCUGAUUAGUAAUGAUCCAUCUGAACUUUGCAUCUAUGUUUUCUGAAGCUAUCAAGCUAAAUACAGCUUUAAGUUACACAAUGUUUUUCAUUCCUCCAAAGAACUGGACAGAACACAGGCAAUGUUACUUUUAAUGUUGGGGUUUUUUUUUUGUCUUUAUAUGGGUAAUGAUUAUAUGCUAUAAAGAGGAAGUUAAUUUUAAUGCUGUAUAACACGAUAAUCUGGAUUAAUGCUUUCGAACUUGACACUCUCGGAGAAUAAACUAAUUGGAUUUCUUUGUCCCAUGUUCCCUUAAAACAGCUUAAGACACAUUCUUCUUAAAAAUACAUCCAUCUGGGAGCAGAAAGGAGAGCAGUUUUCCCUUGGUGGACAAAGAAGCUGUUUUCUAAGAACAAGCAGCAAAUAUUGGCAGUUGAAACUUUGCUGCAACCCAUUGAAAUGCUGAUGAAAUGGUGGGGGCCUGGGUCCCCCUGUUCAUACAGUACUGUACAGUGUUUGCCCAAGAGCUUUGCUUGGUUGCAUCUUUUCAACGUGUAUUUCCUUGACUUACUGGGUUUUAAGAAAAAAAAAAAAGCUCUUUAGAAACUGCUCCCUUUAUCAGUGACUUGUUGCUGCAGAUAAACUAUGAAUUCUGAAUUCAUUCUAUCUGCACAGGCUGAAAGCAUUGGUAUCACAUCUCUCCUGGAUGUAGAAAACCACUAGGAACUGAAUUUUGGAAGGCCUAAACCAGGGAUUAGUUUCCUACGUAUCUGUUUGAUCGGGGAUUGCGUGAGUUCCUAAUUGAAUGCGUGAGGUUGAAUUCCAGAGCUGAGGUUGGUGCAGUGAUGUGCAAGUCAGAUUGCAAGAUCAGUUGUGUGAUCUCUGAUUUUUGUUUAAAAUAAAACUGCUGCAUGCACAGCUGAAAAGUC